GUUGCUGGUUGGUACUCGGUGUAGCGUCGUGGAGACUCACCGUGGAGUUGGCAUCGUGCGCGCUCGGUUCAUCGGUCGCGUGUGCGACGGGAUUCCGGGGAAUUCCUCGUCGGAGCAUCGAGGACCGCCGUUGAGCUCGUCUUUCCACCGUCAUUCCUAUGCGUCGUGCCAUUGACGGUAUGAACCUUCCCCAUCUAUCUGCAUUUACUGUGGUUGCGUAGAGCCUAUAGAUUAGGUAGUUACGCGCUCUGGUAGAGGAGUAAUUGCUCGCUGGCGCGAGGCGCCGCCGUGGUGCCCUUGUUCAUCGGCGCCGCCGUGCGCGUAUCCUGGAUUGGGGGAAGAGACGUGGGUCGUUGAAUCUUUGAUCUGUGGUCGAGAUUAGACGACCACGUACCCGUUCGCGCUGUGAGAUCUGAACUGUUAGAUGAAGAUCGUGCGGGCGACUGUCGAUCGGGGUUACCUUAAAUCCGGGGCGCUGGUGUUCGAUCCAACGAUGAGAUUCGCGUACCGAUUCACUAAUGUUGAGAUCUAAUCUGGCACGUCAAAAUUGGAUCCAACGGCUGGGACAGCCCCGUACCCUUUCGGCCAUGGCAAUUUGUAAAUGAGUCCCUCUAUUAUUUUAGUGUCAACCCACAGUCCACGACCACUGUGUAUUGGGUCUGGGAAGUCUUGCGUCGUAGCCCCUGUGCUUCCGAGAAAUUGACGCGCAGUCCAGGAAAUAGAAAAUCCAGUAAAAGUAAUUAGAAAAUGAUUUUUAAUGUAAAAAUAAAUGCUAGAACUUGUUUAAUUCAUAUAAAAUUCAUAUGAAGUCCAAAUUAAUCCAUUCCAGUUUCUAUAAUUUUGUAAUAUUAUUGUUUAUCACCUAGUGUCUCUGUUUUGACAUGAAAGCCUUAUUAAAAUUUAUAUCCUAAUUAAUCUUGUAUCAAAUACAUAAAAUCUUUGGAAAUUCGUAACUUAAAAUCUAUAGCUCCAAAACUAAUGAUUCAUGUUCCUGUGAUCUUAUUUUAAUAUGUAGAUUAUUAAUGUGUAUCUUGUUUACAUGUUUGGUGUGAUGUUAAUUUCUACUUUAUACUGUGCUUGUUUGUAUUAUGGCGAGUAGAAGAGCCAGUGGCUGAGGAUCCCGGUGUUCAGCAGGUAGAAGUUGCUGAGCAGGAGCUCAUUGAAGGCAAGG
rnacentral:lncRNA from 1 species